rnacentral:rRNA from 1 species
GGGGAAUAUUGCACAAUGGGCGCAAGCCUGAUGCAGCAACGCCGCGUGAGGGAUGACGGCCUUCGGGUUGUAAACCUCUUUUAGUAGGGAAGAAGCGAGAGUGACGGUACCUGCAGAAAAAGCACCGGCUAACUACGUGCCAGCAGCCGCGGUAAUACGUAGGGUGCAAGCGUUGUCCGGAAUUAUUGGGCGUAAAGAGCUCGUAGGCGGUUUGUCGCGUCUGCUGUGAAAGCCCGAGGCUCAACCUCGGGUCUGCAGUGGGUACGGGCAGACUGGAGUGCGGUAGGGGAGAUUGGAAUUCCUGGUGUAGCGGUGGAAUGCGCAGAUAUCAGGAGGAACACCGAUGGCGAAGGCAGAUCUCUGGGCCGUGACUGACGCUGAGGAGCGAAAGCAUGGGGAGCGAAC